UGGGGAAUAUUGCACAAUGGGGGAAACCCUGAUGCAGCGACGCCGCGUGAACGAAGAAGGUAUUCGUAUCGUAAAGUUCUGUCCUAUGGGAAGAUAAUGACAGUACCAUAGAAGAAAGCUCCGGCUAAAUACGUGCCAGCAGCCGCGGUAAUACGUAUGGAGCGAGCGAUGUCCGGAAUUAUUGGGCGUAAAGGGUACGCAGGCGGUUUAAUAAGUCGAAUGUUAAAGAUCGGGGCUCAACCCCGCAAAGCAUUGGAAACUGAUAAACUUGAGUAGUGGAGGGGAAAGUGGAAUUCCUAGUGUAGUGGUGAAAUACGUAGAUAUUAGGAGGAAUACCAGUAGCGAAGGCGACUUUCUGGACACAAACUGACGCUGAGGUACGAAAGCGUGGGGAGCAAACAGG
rnacentral:rRNA from 1 species